GCCUAGCUGGCUUAGUCUGUAGAGCAUGUGAUUCUUGAUCUUGGGGUUGUGAGCUCGAUCCCCAUGUUGGGUG
rnacentral:tRNA from 1 species